GAGUUUGAUCAUGGCUCAGAAUCAACGCUGGCGGCAUGCCUUACACAUGCAAGUCGAACGGUAACAGGUUAAGCUGACGAGUGGCGAACGGGUGAGUAAUAUAUCGGAACGUGCCCAGUCGUGGGGGAUAACUGCUCGAAAGAGCAGCUAAUACCGCAUACGACCUGAGGGUGAAAGCAGGGGAUCGCAAGACCUUGCGCCAUUGGAUGAGCCGAAGUCGGAUUAGCUAGUUGGUGGGGUAACGGCCUACCAAGGCGACGAUCCGUAGCUGGUCUGAGAGGACGACCAGCCACACUGGGACUGAGACACGGCCCAGACUCCUACGGGAGGCAGCAGUGGGGAAUAUUGGACAAUGGGGGCAACCCUGAUCCAGCGACGCCGCGUGUGUGAAGAAGGCCUGCGGGUUGUAAAGCACUUUUAGUGGGGAUGAAAAGCCAGGGGCUAAUACCCUCUGGUCUUGACCUAACCCAAAGAAAAAGCACCGGCUAACUCUGUGCCAGCAGCCGCCGUAAC
rnacentral:rRNA from 1 species